AAGACAGGAUGUUAAAAAAAAAAAAAAAGUGUGAGCAACAGUUUUAAUGUAUAUGUAAAAUACUGCAGGACAUAUUUUUAAAACCAAUUGGCGACCCUGUGAUCCUUUAGAAGAAAAUGAAUAAUCACUCAAGAGCUCAGGGAAGACAGCAAGGUAGGGCUGAUUACUUCCCUUGAUAUUAAAUUGAUGCUUUUGUCUGAAAGGGGCCACUUUUGGGUCACAAGUCAUUGCUUCCAGAAGCAACUUAAUUAUGGCUGCCACCAGCUUUACGGAGAAGAGAGAACAAUCUAAGAGCAGUGCUACAUUCUCAAGUCGCUAUCUAAGCUUAUUUUUGUUUCUAGUGAGUUGCUGUGCCUGGGAAGAGUAGAGAAUUGCCAUUCCUGGUGCCCUGCUUAAUUAAAGUCCUCUUUAAAAAAAGCCCUUGUUGCCAGAGAAUAGCUACAACUUUGGCAGAGGCAGUGCUAAGUUUCUCGGUGUGGCCCUGUGCCAGGCUGUGUCAAUCUUGACCUCUUGGAGGAUGAUUAGCAGAGAAGGGGUAGUUAAACCUUUGUGCCCAUUCAGUCCCAGGCUUCUGCUGGAAUUGGCAAACACUAUAGUGACUAUUGUUUAAGGAAUAACUGUCUACUAGGAACUGGACUAAGACCACCAACUCCUUUCACAUAAGGCACCAAACAAUGAUAAUGGCUUCCUGUCACUCCUGACCCGGCUUAGAGCUUGACCAGUGCCCCAAAGGGGGAAAAAAACAUUACACUUGCAAUAUUCUUCAGACGUCCACGUCUUUUCUUUUCCCUUCAUAUUACAGUUCUAUUAGUACUAGUAAUCACAGAAUCCCCAAAAAUGCUCUAUUCACGGACCAUGAGCAGCAUGGCGAUAAAUAAAUAUUUGCAAGAAUUUAACAUACAUGUGGAACGUUAAGUUGCUCAAUGAAUUCACCAUUUAAAUAAAAUUGACUAGGGAGCUCAGAAUUAUAAAGCAUUAAAAAAAAAAAAAAUGAGAAAAGGGUUCGAAUAAUGGCCCAAACACCAAACUUCAUUGUAGUUUAAGACUCACUGUCUAUGUUCUAAGUGUUUGUAAAUGUUUGACUAAUUUUUUCUCCCUCCAAAGUUCCUUGAGCGAUCACAUUUUCUUCAUGGCAGAAAAUAACUCUAAUGCACGUUUUGGUCAAUUACAACCAGAAAUAACCCUAUUGUACUUGUACGCCUUAAUAAAAUAAUUUAUCAAAAUCUCUUUAAAAACCUAUAAAUAAAAAUCGCUACAAAGUCUCAAUUAUCAUUUGUCUCUGAUUAAAAUUCAAUCUUUAAAUAUAUUCCUUUCUACUUUUGGAAUUUUGCAUAUGUUGUUCAAAAGAACAACUGACUGAUGUUAAGGGAAAAAAAGGCAAAAAUGAAGAGACCAAGGAUGAAGCAAGAGGUUACAUAUUUAGUUGUUAACGUCCAAAGCCCUAGAGCCCAUCUCUUCACCCACUUAACAAAUAUUUAUUGGUUACCAGUUAUGUGCCAGGUACGGCUUUGAAACACAAGACAAAAACCUUGCAGUCAUGGAAGUCACACAGACUACUACUACUGUGCUGUUUCAGUGUGCAAACUUUUUUACCUCUGUAUCCUCAACAACUGCUCAGAGGUUAUUACUGAAGACCGCGGGUCUGAAUAAUGGGAAAUUUUUAUAUCAAUACUCAUGAUAACAUAUGCAUUAGGAUACCUGGCAUAGUUAAAGAUGUAAGGAACCCAGUGAUUGUUUUUUUACCCAUAAAAAAAAAUGAUAGAUAACACUAUCACUUUGUGUAAAGUUUUAGACAACUAAGUAAUACAGAUUUAAAUCACAAAUGACAGAUGCACCGACUUGAAGCAUAAUGGUUACUGAAGUGAACCUUGUAGAGCUAUGGUUAACUAUUAAAUGGCUCGAGUACCGUUUUUAGGUGUGAAUAUUGUGACAACUAUUAGUCAAUGCCCUAUGCCAUCAUCACUAUUUUCUUGGUGAAUUCUAUCCUAAGAGGAGUGGGUAUCUUACGGGAAAAUCUUAUCUCAGUGAAAAUUCCAGGUUAGUUUUUUUUUUUUUUUAUCAAAACAAUAUUCAUUGAUUUCAUGGGUGACCUUGCUGAUUUUCCAAGCACAGUGAGUGCCCCCAUAUGACAGUAUGAAAGUAGUCACCAAACUAUUAAAAAAAAAAAAAA
rnacentral:lncRNA from 1 species